CAACGUCAUGCGGCCGGGCACGUCCGCGGGCACGCCGCUGGUGCACGCCUGGUGCACCGAGCGAUUUGAGAGGGAGGCGAUAAGAGCAAUGGCGAAAAUAAAAGGGAUGUAGCGAGGCCUAGUAAUUGGAAAUUUCUAAUUUAUCUUUGUGCAAUCGUCCACCGCCCCAAGGGUUCAAGGUAAACAUGGAUGGUCAACAAUCUCCAGAGGGAGCUCGCUGGUUGGCUCUCAUCGUUGGUUUUCUGGGGUCUCCUAGACUAGUCCAGGAUGAUUUUGUUUGGCUAAGUUGUGAAGCCGUUUUUACACCUACUACUGCUUAAGGCUUGUUUGUGGCCACGCUGGGCUAGUCUCACACAAAAAGGCCGACGGCUUCAAAACCCCGACCUAUUUCGUGCCAGCCGGAUUACCAGUCGAUCCGCCCGGAAGUACGCCUGCCAUUAGAUGCAAUUUUAGGUUCAGCGUCUUGCGAAAGGCCCCCCUUUAGCACAGACGUCCGUUGGCCAGGAAUUCAACCACCAACUCACCAACCCUGCUAUUAGCGGACAAGCCUCUCCAGCACCUGAGCCGUCGCCGUCCGCUCGGUGCGUUCAUGUGGUGAAUGUGGAAACAACCUGGACGCUUCAGCAACAACAAAGAUUUUCUUUCUCUUUCCGUUUGAUUCUUGGAAGUGUCCCCUAGUAUUUGCGCGACAACAAAUGAAACCUGACACGUGUGUGACAAACGUUUUAUUUGUGCUCCAGAAGGUCUCCGGGCAAGUCUCUUUGGGCAAGUUGAAAGAGGUUCAAAUUCAGGACUUUCUUGCUGUGAGGCAAUAGUGCCAACCAGAUCACUAAUCAACCCUUCUGGAAGAUGCUCGCUUGCCAUUGGAGGCAACUUAAGGUUCAGUACGAAAGGAAACUUUUGCCAGGGACAAUAUCAACAACUCGGCAAGUUCCCAGUCUAGAACCAAUUUUGCCAAUUCCUCCAACUCAGAAUGAAUGAAAGUAAAUUCAGAGUGAGACCACAUGGACUCAUCUACCUUAGACCACCAGCUUAUCAGCCUCCAUGUUUGUUUACAGUUCUGCAGUUAGUACGUGAGAGGUCUCUGGCUAAGUGGCGUGUUGUCAACACUUCUCAGUGGGAAUCUCUACUCGCCAAGUGCUUGGAAUACUGUCCUGGAAAUCCUCCUCUUCUCGUGUAUCACAACACCGCGUGUGUUUUUACUGCCAGCUAAAUAUAAACUCUCUGAACCUGGCCCUCGCCGCUAUAAAGCCACCUAAUGAAAUCUUCGGAGGAUUUUUCAACCCCGACAGCAGUUUACACGCAGUCGUUUGAGGUGUUUUUUGUAGUAACUAUUACUAUGAUUAGUGGCUGUCCAAACAGGCCGCUUGUAAAACUAAGUGACACUUAAAAGAGAGAAACAAGUGGAAGUAAGGGGGCUUAAACCUGUCAUUUAGAGUCCGUGGGAGCUGGAAAAGACCAAAAGGCUUUAAAGGUUGUGAGGAAACAACAGGUCAUCUGAAAUAUCAUAACUCCCACAUGUCAGUCGUUCAUUUGUACUGAAAAUGUUGCAGCAUUCAAUAGGUUUCAAAUCCUUGUCUGUGGCACCUUUCACAUUUGAAGACCACCGCACAAAAACACAACCACCAUUAUUUCCAGAAUAUAAUGGUUUAUUACCCAGAAUGGACUCAAAGUGCCUAAUGCAAUUCAAUGCUAACAUCACCUUCAAAAUAAAGCAAAAUGCAGAGAUCUGGAACGUCACUCGACUCUUGUGUCUUAAUGUAUUAAUGUAAUAGUUCAUUUUGUUAUCAUAGCUUAGCUCAAAUAGUGGAACCAAGGAGAAGUUGCUUGUGUCAUCUUACGCAACUGUAUCACCUACCAGCCCCUUUUAAAUUUCACAAAUGGACCUUUAGAUUUCCUGGAAGUUUGUGCUUUCAUUCUCUGCAUAGUUACUAUUUCGUGGCUUGGACCAGUUACCAGUGAAUCACUGGAGGCAAAUAAAUGUGAUGUAAUGUCUUUAAUAAACAAGAAUUAAGCACGA